rnacentral:tRNA from 12 species
GGGCCAUUAGCUUAACGGUUAAAGCCGGCGGCUCAUAACCGCUCCAGUGGGGGUUCGAAUCCCUCAUGGCCCACCA